CAAUUCAUGUGGUCCAACUUUAAGUCAUUGUUAUUGUAAGCAUAAAUAUGUUCUUUGAAUAAAUUUACGCUAGAUCUGCAGUGUUGAUGUGCACCAUGUAGAUUAUUAUUAUGAGUAUUGUAAUUAAGUACGAGUUGCAUUAAUAACUGUGUAAAGCAUCAUUCAGCAUCAUUGUCAUCAUUCUUGUCUAUUUAAAUUGUGUCUGCAGUGAGACAAUAUUCCUUGUAAUUUUCAGUCAGUCUUUGACCAAAUCUCCAUGUACUUGUCUUUCCAUGAUCUUCUCAUCUUCACUAGCCAAGGGGUCACUGUCCACUUUGUUCCAUUACAACUGUUGUAGAGGAGCGAAGUGGAUCAUCACCCUUGGCUAGUGAAGAUGUGAUCUACACAUGUACUGUGUAAAAUCAUCUGAAGUCAACAUAUAUAGAACAUCUGUUUUCUUGCAGGUCAACAAUAAGUAUUAAGUCACUUUUACCACAUUUAUCUUUUGAUGGUUUAUUACUAUAUAAGUACCAAUAUUGUACCUAUCCUUAUAUAUUCUUGGUUAAUUUUUAUACUUACCUAACUUUGAACUUUAUAGUAUUUAAAGAUAUAACUUUGUGUUGCUUAUAAAUUAAUUGCACACAAAACUCAAAAUCCAAUAAACGGGGAAUUUUUGAAGGAAUGAAUAUAUUAGUUAUACUGCAAUAUGUUUUCACAUUAAUAUGUAUCUAGUUGCAAAUACAUGUACAUGCAGACAUUUAUACUCAGUUGGAAUUGUUAAUGAUUGUUUUUGUAAUGUUAUUUAUAUGUAGAUUUGACUUCAUGAACUGAGUUAAAUGCAUGCAAUGAAAACAUUAACAAUAUUUGUCAGCUUGUUGUUAUUAAAGUUUCAUGGUG
rnacentral:misc_RNA from 1 species